UGAGCCGCAGCCAUGAAGCUCAAGACUAAGCGCGAGCCAAGCUACAAGCGCUCAGUUGUUCUACGUCUCUUGAUUCGUUCGGUUGAUUCUUGUGGAGAGCGUACACCACCGUGGCUUGCAGACAACGGGCAUUCCCCAGAGACAUUCAGAAGAAUCAGACUUGGCAUAGGCAUGAAGACCCCCAGACACACCUCACCCCCACCCCCACUAUAUCCUACAAUUCACAGCCAUGCCAGAGAAUGGCAGAAUCACCAAUAGGACAUGAGAAGGAUAGAGUAAGGCUACCUCCAACACACAACUAAGAAAGACAGCGCAAAACGAGACUGAAAAACAGAGAGGAGGAGGGGUGGCUGUUGAUUCUGCCCUCCCUCUCUUCGCCCUCCUCUGCGUCGCUCUCUCCCCUCCUCCUCCCUUCCCUUCCUCCCCCUGCUCCAUCUUCAGCUGCCUGCCCCCUACUCCUGUAUUGUGAGAUGCAGCCCGCGCCACCAUCUUAGAAAAACGACGCUGGCAUGAAAUGGAAGUAGAGACCAAAAGCAGGCAAGUGAUAGUGCUAAACAUCAGAAGCAGACCUUACAACAAGGCAGAGGCCACUGAUGCUCUGAGAUCGG